UCCCUAGUGGUCCAGUGGCUAGGACUCUGCACUCCCAAUGCAGGAGGCCCAGGGUUCAAUCCCUGGUCAGGGAA
rnacentral:tRNA from 1 species